AAGCGUGCCCGUGCGCUGGUGAGGUGGCGUCCGUUCUACCCGGUCGCUCCCGUUCCGCGCCAUGCAGAGCCCAGUCUCUGGCACCUGGCUGCUCUGAUCUGGUCUCAGCGCGGAGGGAGCAGAGGGAGUCCAUGGAGGAUCCCUCCGAGCCCGACCGGUUGGCGUCCGCGGACGGCGGGAGCCCGGAGGAGGAGGAGGAUGGGGAGCGGGAGCCGCUGCUACCGCGGAUCGCCUGGGCCCACCCGCGGAGAGGCGCCCCAGGCAGCGCCGUGAGGCUGCUGGACGCUGCCGGGGAGGAGGGCGAGGCCGGCGACGAGGAGCUGCCCCUCCCGCCCGGGGACGUGGGGGUCUCCCGGAGUUCGUCCGCCGAGCUGGACCGGAGCCGCCCCGCGGUUUCAGUAACUAUUGGUACUUCAGAGAUGAAUGCAUUCUUGGAUGACCCAGAAUUUGCCGAUAUUAUGCUGAGAGCAGAGCAAGCAAUAGAAGUUGGAAUUUUUCCAGAAAGAAUCUCUCAAGGUUCAAGUGGAAGUUACUUUGUGAAGGAUCCUAAGAGGAAAAUUAUUGGUGUGUUUAAACCCAAAUCAGAAGAGCCUUAUGGUCAACUCAAUCCAAAAUGGACCAAAUAUGUCCAUAAGGUCUGCUGCCCUUGCUGCUUUGGCCGAGGCUGCCUGAUUCCUAAUCAGGGGUACCUUUCCGAAGCGGGUGCCUAUCUUGUGGACAACAAGCUUCAUCUGAGCAUUGUACCUAAAACAAAGGUGGUUUGGCUUGUCAGUGAGACAUUUAACUAUAAUGCGAUUGACCGUGCAAAAUCAAGAGGCAAAAAGUAUGCUUUAGAAAAAGUGCCAAAAGUGGGUAGAAAGUUUCAUAGGAUAGGACUCCCUCCUAAGUUCUUAAAAUUAUAGAUUGGUUCCUUUCAGUUAUUUGUUGAAGGUUACAAGGAGGCUGAAUAUUGGCUUAGGAAAUUUGAAGCUGACCCUUUGCCUGAGAAUAUUAGAAAACAAUUUCAGUCACAAUUUGAAAGAUUAGUUAUUUUGGAUUACAUCAUCAGAAAUACAGACAGGGGCAAUGAUAAUUGGUUAGUCAGAUACGAAAAGCAGAAAUGUGAAAAGGAAAUUGACCAUAAGGAAUCAAAAUGGAUUGAUGAUGAAGAAUUCCUUAUUAAAAUAGCUGCAAUUGAUAAUGGUCUAGCAUUUCCUUUUAAACAUCCUGAUGAAUGGAGAGCAUAUCCAUUUCACUGGGCUUGGCUUCCUCAAGCAAAAGUUCCCUUUUCUGAAGAAAUAAGAAAUUUGAUUCUACCAUAUAUUUCUGACAUGAACUUUGUGCAAGAUUUAUGUGAAGAUCUCUAUGAACUUUUUAAGACUGACAAAGGAUUUGACAAAGCCACUUUUGAAAGUCAGAUGUCUGUGAUGAGGGGUCAGAUCUUAAACCUUACUCAGGCAUUGAGAGACGGGAAGAGUCCUUUCCAGCUAGUACAGAUACCUUGUGUGAUUGUGGAACGCAGUCAAGGUGGAAGUCAGGGUCGGAUUGUCCACCUGAGCAAUUCCUUUACCCAGACUGUCAAUUGCAGGAAGCCAUUUUUUUCCUCCUGGUAGUAAAUGUCAGAGUAAGAGAAACAAACUGUUUAGAAUUAUCAUGUUUUUAAAACAUCAUAGUAAUAUAAAUCUGCUGUUAGGAGCUCCAGUUGCUAAAACCUCAAUUUAAGUCUUUAAAAGGUUGUAUUUUGAAUGUAACCAAAAGUUUACAGUUUUUUGUCCAAAUAUUAAAUUUCUAUUUCAGGGAAGAAGUGCUAUAUCUCCUAUAUUGUAUUUUUGUAGAAAAUUUGUAUUUUAUGUUGUUGUUAGUUUAAAAGGUAAUUUUACACAUGCUGGAAUGACUGUAAUUACUCUAGAAUUCCAAGUAGAAUACAAUAACUUUUAAUAUUGAGAAGAAUGUUCAUGCUAAUUCUUCUUACAUUACAAAAGGCCUUUGAGGAUGCCUACGUCUGAAAUUGCUCUUACGAACUUUAAUAAAAUAGUUAGCUAAUAGAAAAACAGGUAAGAAUAAAGCAAUGUUGCCUUAAUUUCAAAAGCUGCUAUUUUAGAAUUUGAAUAAGUACUCCUAAAGUGACCAUUAUUAGGGACCAGAAAAUUAUAUCUUGGCUAAGUAAUAGAGGACCAUUUUGGUUUUUGUACUUGAGAAUAUUUUUGGUGAAUUACUUUGUUGUAGUGAGGAAAAAACCUAAGAAAUUUCCCCUUUUUUUAAAAAAUGGAAAUAUUCAAUUGAGACUUGAGGGGAAUAAUAGAAAAUUAAGGUAGAUCCCCAAUAUUUUGGAAUACCAAAAUUGCCUUAAAAAUUCCCUUCUGUUUCUUACAUGGGAUCAAAUACUUGAGAUUAGUACUUCAGAGUACUGGCCUUGUUCAAUUUAGUACUUCAAUUAGUAUUAAACUUCACUAAAAAGUAAACCAUACUCCAAAUUGUAUAUUGGAUUGCAUUUUGGGGUCCUAGGUCAUACGUUCUUCAAAAUUAUUAUGAUUGUACUAUUGUACUUGAAAUUACAGAUGUUAUUAUAAUUACAGUCAAAUGUAGACUAUCAGGCCAAAUUAAAGGGGAGCAUGGCAGAUAACCAUAAAGUCAUUUAUAUUUGAUUUUGAAAUGUAUUUUUGUACUUUAUUUUGAAUAUCAUCCAUAUGUCUGACAUUAUUGGAAUUUGUAACAUUGUUAAUGCACUAAGUGAUUUAAAUUCAAUUGAUGAAGAUGUGAUUUUACAGAAGCAGAAGUUUCAUUUUCUUGAGGCUUAAAACCAAUGUCACCACUUGGGCUUAACUGGGUAAUUUGUGGUCUAGGCCUUUUGUUUUCUAAGCUUACUAUCUUGUGUUUGUUUAUUUGCUUUUAAUGAAGUAUUUUGUGUAGAAGGUUAAAUUAGGAUGCAAAACAGAUCUGCCAUUCCUUUUUCCCUUAUAUCUUCCUUUUGGUCUUCAUGGACGAGAUGAAUGAGGAUUCUGCUGCCCUGAGGGAGUUCAUUGGAAACCUGCGUUCUCCUACCUCUUCCAACCCUCCAUUAGCUCAAUUUUGAGAUAAUGGAAAAUUGACUGGAAAUUCAAAACUCAAACUACUAUCUUUAGAUAUAAACACUAGUAAUUAAAAUGUGCCUUUUGAAGAUGUUUUCUAAGAGAAAGGAAAUACGUUGCAGUGAUGUGGGUACUGCUUUCAUAAAACAGUUUUUUCAGUAUUUUGAGAAUUGCCAUAUUAAUUUUUAUAAUGGAAAACUUAAUAAAUUGCUACUGUUUUAUAUCAUAAAAUUAAAAUACCAUGGUAAUAUUUGCAAAAGGUCUGGCCAUACCAGAAAAGUACAGUUGAGAUAGUUAAGAUAUAACCACAAGUCAGAGUACAUUGGUUGUAUUUUGUAAACUUUCAUGAACUGAAUUCUUAUUUAAAUAGUAUGGUUUUUUUUCAAUAAGUAUAUUUAUAGUGACAAAUGUGGUAGACUAAAGGUAAUAAAAAUCAUUGUCUUAAGAUUAUGUUCUUCUGUAUGUACGUGUUUGGAAUAUUUAGAAUGUUUAUGAACACAUUUACUAUAAAUGAUGCCAAACUAUCAUUUUCUUCAUAUAUUAAAGGUAUAGUUUAAUUCUU